UACGUAGGUGGCAAGCGUUGUCCGGAUUUAUUGGGUUUAAAGGGUGCGUAGGCGGUUUUGUAAGUCAGUGGUGAAAUACUCCAGCUUAACUGGAGGGGUGCCAAUGAUACUGCAGAACGUGAGUACAGAUGAGGUAGGCGGAAUUGACGGUGUAGCGGUGAAAUGCAUAGAUAUCGUCAAGAACACCGAUAGCGAAGGCAGCUUACUGGGCUGUAACUGACGCUGAGGCACGAAAGUGUGGGGAUCAAACAGG
rnacentral:rRNA from 1 species